AGUUAUUAUCUACAACUUAUGGGCUAAUGAUGACGAGAUUGUAGAGUUAUACUUCGAUACAGAUCCUAAGGGAGGAUACUUUUGAAAGGAGACAACAUAACUCUGAUGAUGAAUUCGGGAAAAUGAUGGUCAUGUCACUAUUUGGAUUGAUUGGGGCUUACAGUGUUGUUCCCGUAGCAUAGCAUGUAUGUUGAGUUAAUUUACAGUUACUAUUUCGACUGCUUGGUUUGAGUACAUUUUGGAUAGCAUGUAGGAGAACUCAUUGAAUGUUGAUUUUAUAUGCCUAUAAGUAGAUGAGUUGUUGCA